CUCGGACAGAAGAGACGUGACUUGUGCUGAGAGACAACUGAGCCUCGGGAUGAAGAUCGGACGCAGAGAUAGGCUGCCUUGUCUGCUGGCCGCCGCCUUGCCUGCUCGCCGCUGCCUUGCCUGCUGCUAGCCGCUGUCUAUCUGUCUGCUGUCUACUACACCAUCAUUUAUAUGUUGUGAGUGUUGUGUUGUAGAGUAGGAUUAUAUAUGGGUAUAUUCUGUGUUAAUAAAUUGGUUAAAAUGU